CUUGUACCUGGUGGCGAGCGGCGGACGGGUGAGUAAUGCCUAGGAAUCUGCCUGGUAGUGGGGGAUAACGCUCGGAAACGGACGCUAAUACCGCAUACGUCCUACGGGAGAAAGCAGGGGACCUUCGGGCCUUGCGCUAUCAGAUGAGCCUAGGUCGGAUUAGCUAGUUGGUGAGGUAAUGGCUCACCAAGGCGACGAUCCGUAACUGGUCUGAGAGGAUGAUCAGUCACACUGGAACUGAGACACGGUCCAGACUCCUACGGGAGGCAGCAGUGGGGAAUAUUGGACAAUGGGCGAAAGCCUGAUCCAGCCAUGCCGCGUGUGUGAAGAAGGUCUUCGGAUUGUAAAGCACUUUAAGUUGGGAGGAAGGGCAGUUACCUAAUACGUGAUUGUUUUGACGUUACCGACAGAAUAAGCACCGGCUAACUCUGUGCCAGCAGCCGCGGUAAUACAGAGGGUGCAAGCGUUAAUCGGAAUUACUGGGCGUAAAGCGCGCGUAGGUGGUUUGUUAAGUUGGAUGUGAAAUCCCCGGGCUCAACC
rnacentral:rRNA from 1 species